rnacentral:rRNA from 1 species
UACAGAGGUCCCAAGCGUUGUUCGGAUUCCCUGGGCGUAAAGGGUGCGUAGGUGGCCGGUUAAGUCUGACGUGAAAUCUCCGAGCCUAACUCGGAAACUGCAUCGGAAACUAUCCGGCUCGAGGGUUGGAGGGGGGACUGGAAUACUUGGUGUAGCAGUGAAAUGCGUAGAUAUCAAGUGGAACACCAGUGGCGAAGGCGAGUCCCUGGACAACUCCUGACACUGAGGCACGAAAGCUAGGGGAGCAAACAGG